rnacentral:rRNA from 1 species
UGGGGAAUUUUGGACAAUGGGCGAAAGCCUGAUCCAGCAAUGCCGCGUGUGUGAAGAAGGCCUUCGGGUUGUAAAGCACUUUUGUCCGGAAAGAAAUCCUUGGCUCUAAUACAGUCGGGGGAUGACGGUACCGGAAGAAUAAGCACCGGCUAACUACGUGCCAGCAGCCGCGGUAAUACGUAGGGUGCAAGCGUUAAUCGGAAUUACUGGGCGUAAAGCGUGCGCAGGCGGUUUGCUAAGACCGAUGUGAAAUCCCCGGGCUCAACCUGGGAACUGCAUUGGUGACUGGCAGGCUAGAGUAUGGCAGAGGGGGGUAGAAUUCCACGUGUAGCAGUGAAAUGCGUAGAGAUGUGGAGGAAUACCGAUGGCGAAGGCAGCCCCCUGGGCCAAUACUGACGCUCAUGCACGAAAGCGUGGGGAGCAAACAGGAUUAGAUACCCUGGUAGUCCCACGCCCUAAACGAUGUCAACUAGUUGUUGGGGAUUCAUUUCCUUAGUAACGUAGCUAACGCGUGAAGUUGACCGCC